rnacentral:rRNA from 1 species
CCUACGGGAGGCAGCAGUAGGGAAUCUUCCACAAUGGACGAAAGUCUGAUGGAGCAACGCCGCGUGAGUGAAGAAGGGUUUCGGCUCGUAAAAUUCUGUUGUUAGGGAAGAAAGGUGAUGGGAGGAACUGACCUUCAAUUGACGGUAAUUACUUAGAAAGUCACGGCUAACUACGUGCCAGCAGCCGCGGUAAUACGUAGGUGGCAAGCGUUGUCCGGAAUUAUUGGGCGUAAAGCGCGUGCAGGUGGUU